GUCCCUCUCGACUUUUUCUUUCUCUCUAGAAUCCUAUUUUUACCUCGUACUAAUAAAUAAAACCCUGCCCCGUUUUAAGUGUUGUAACCUCUGAUCACUAAUGCCCUGUCCGACUGACGUAGGGCCCCGUAACGUAUGUCAAGGCUCUGCCUAAAUUCGUUGGGGUUCUGUCUCGUGACGUAGGGAUAAAAUAAAAUCGGGUUACUAUACUUAAAGUGAAUGCACUAUAUAUUUUAUUAAAUAAUCCAGAAAUUAUACCAAGAUAUAUCAACUCUCCAAAAAUAUUUCUGACAUCCCUAAUAUAUUUAGAAUACCCCUAUAUGUCUUAAAUUACACCCCGUAUACGAAAACCGGUCCCGAAUACCCUUAUCUUUGUAAAAAUAAAAUAAAAACAAAUCUGCAAGCCGCUCGCGGGCCGCGUAAGGCCACACCAUUAGUUGACGCGGGCCGCGACAGCUAGUGAUAACGGCAAAGCCACAGCCCGCCACGUGUCGAUGACUCAGCACACUCAAACCGCCCUACCAUCGCUCGCGGGGCGCGUAAACUUUCUCUUCGUCCUACGCGGGCCGCGAGAAACUGAAGAUCAGGCCCUAUAAAUAGCAACCAUCGGCAGUUCAUUCAAAUCGUUCAGAAUUCUUAUAUCUCUCUCAAUUUCUGUGGUGUAGGCCCUAUACCCGGGCACUAUACCCCUAAUUAGCGAAGCUCUGCCUCGUUAUUAUAACCAGGAAGUCACAAAGGAAAGCCCUAUAAUAGCAAUUGAUUGUUGUUGAUGAUUAUUGUUGAUAAUUGUUGUCACGACGCUAGAUAAGCAACUCCGGUGAAGUUUACGACGCAGGAACGCAAAGUUGUGAGUUCAUGCUCCCCCUUUUCUUUAACUGUUUUUGGUUUUAUAACUCUCAGGGGUGAAAUACAUGUUACAAAUAUUAUAAUAUUUUUACAAGUAGUAAAAAUACAAGAAGCACUCUUGGUGAGAACGAGUACCGAGUGCAAUACGAAUCGAGAAUACAAAAAUACGAGAAGCACACUUGGUGAGAACGAGAACCAAGUAUGAUGUGCUUUAAGAAAUGCCUAGAAAUUACUAGAUCAUGUGAGCAUAGACUUAAUACUAAAAAUGCCAUAAAGUCUUGGUGAAAACUAGUACCAAGCCAUUAAAAACAUUCAGUAAUUAGGGACGAGGGUUAGAUCUAACGGGUACGGCCGAGCCCCACUCAUGGUCCUUAUGUGACCUCUUGAGUGCUUCGGUGUCCCAGUCGAGGUAAAUCGACACAGUCGAGGUAAAUCGACACAGUCAAGGUAAAUCGACACAGUCGAGGGUAAUCGACACAGUCAAGGGAAAUUGACACAGUCGAGGUUAAUCGACACAGUCGAGGGUAAUCGACAUAGUUAAAGGAGCCAACACUAAUGCUCCAUAAGUCCUCACAUGCCUUAAAGGAGCCAACACUAAUGCUCCAUAUGUCCUCACAUGCCGAAAUGUCUUUGUACAAACAUUCAAUUAGUACGUGAUGUACACAAGAAAACUUGAUUUUUGCAAGAAUACUUUAUUUAUACAAGAUACAUACCAUGUUUUCAUACUCGGUAUGCAAAACGCAUGAACUCGCUCAACUUUAUGUUGAUGUUUUCCAAAAUUACAUGUAUUUCAGGUGAAAGGAUGGAUCUUGGGCGCAAGUGUUGUAACUAGAAGUAGACUACAAGUUUAGAUGUCAUCCACUUUUGUUGAAUUGUAACCUAGAUGAAGGUUGUGUUUUAAAACUUAAAUGACAAGUGUUUGUGAUCCUCAAAAUUUUCCGAAUGGAUGAACAUCGUUU
rnacentral:lncRNA from 1 species